UGGAGGCAGAAGCAGUUUGCGGGCGCUGCCGGCAGAUGGAGCGGGAGGGGUGCCCGCAGUGCGGCCCCGUACUGCCCUUCCACCCCACGCGUGGGGCUGCCCGCGGGCCCAGCAGCUUCUAUAUAGGGGUCUUCGGGCUGCCGCAGCCCUUCGGGCUUGAGAAAUUAAAAUAGCCCCCCAAAUAACAAAAAUUACAACUGGGAAACUGCCCUCGGAGGAACCCCCGGAGGCAUCGCGUGGGCCACAGGCAGCUCCUGGCUGCACAGCCCUCGGAUGCCAACCCAGUGAUAUAAUUGAAGUCUCCUGGCUCCGAUUUCUACCAUCCUCAUUCUGAUCACUGCGGGAUGAAAGAAGAUAUUUUCGACGUGGGGAAGGAAAUACCCUACUGCAUUGAGCAGGCACAGACCUGACCAGCAUGUGUGGGGAUGUUUGGCACCAGUGCUUCAAAGGAAUACAUUGUUCACUCUGCUGUAAAGAAUUCCAGGCAGACAUGACGAAAGGGACAUUGCAGCUCAAGAAAAGAGACGUCCCGUGCAGCACUGAUGAAACGGUGUUUGGAAACCAGGAGCGAGCAAACAGGAAAGAUCUUUAACCAUUGAGGAGAUGGGAUCCCAGCGUGUUUUUGGCACCGGCGGGAACAAUGGGGUGAUGUCACAAGCCAGAAUUCCCCACGGUGAAUGGAAGCCCAGCAAAUAAUCAUAAUUCUUUUCUUGGUGCAUUAGUGAAAUUUUUCCACCGUUGGUCAUCCCCCACUGAGUCCCUGUUAGGAAGUACAGGAAGGAGACAUUGUCAAAUGGGGUUUCCUUUGGGAGAACCGUGUCUCCUCCUCCCCAUCAGCUGUUAUAAAUCACAGCUUUCUGCUGACUGCAAGGAAUUCCAGCAGAGCAGUGCUUGCUGCCUAAGCAGUGCUUUACCCCGUGAGGAAGGGUGCACAAGGAGUUCUGGAUUCCUG
ensembl:lncRNA